rnacentral:lncRNA from 1 species
AAUAAGAAGAAGCCUUCCUUUUGUAUUAUCUCAGACUAAAAAGCUGCAAAAAGAUUUAAUAUGCAAAUUAAGCAGCAUAUGAGCAGUGUAAUUCGUGUUUACUUUGAAGUAUUGGCGUUCAUUCGCGGCAGCAACCGCUCCUGCUCCUCCGGCUCCCCAAGCUGCCGCUGCCACAGCUGCUCCUGCUCCUGCUGCUCUAUGUUGGCGUUCAUUCGCUUAUUACUUAGUCUUGCACCAACUAAACAGAUAAGAAAUAUGGCAGGCAAAAGGGAUGCUUUCAAAGGACUAUCAGCAUGCCGAAGGCAGUAAACAUACUGAACUAUAGAGCAAAUGCACUGUGAGAUGCCAGCAACUACUCCAUAAAUGUCAGGAAGAGUACCAAAAGGCGUAUAUGGAGGAAUUGGUGGAUGAUAAAACCACGAGCGCAUUCCCCGGCUCCUGAACUCAACGUUUUCCUGUUGACCUCUGUAAAUUAGCUCACCAAUGGAAAUAAGCACAGCUGCAAUAGCCAACAGCAUCCCAAAUAGUGCAAAGUGGGGUCUUCUUGGGGAGGAAGCCUGAUCACAAGCAGCUGACAACAUCUCUAGGCCAAGGUUAGUAGCUAAAAAUAUCCACUUUGCUGAUUCUGAAGUGGGCCUCAUCCCAGGAACUCAAGGAGGGUCUGUAAUGAUUACUACUAGGUGUUAAAGAUGGGUCAGAAGAAGACUGAUCUCCACGACGAGUAUUUGCAAACCAGGAAACCAGUUGUUGCUCUCUCAAUUUCCACAGCUAAUAAGCAAGUGCUUUUCUUUGAGACAUAAACACCUCUGCUUGGUUACUGAGAAAACUGAGGAAUUUACAUAGAAAAAGAAAGGAACUUUCCAAGACGGAUCCUCUGCUUUUUUUUCUUUAAUUAUCUGAUUUCCAUCCCUCCCAAACUGAAAACAAUGAGAAGAAGAUGCUAUAGUGUUAUGGGAUUAGUGUAAAGGCAAUAACGGAAAGGAGAGAGCUUCUUGGAAAAUCGCAGUGUGGUGGAAAAGCUCUUCCCAGGUGGCCCACACGGUUUAUCUUUCACUUUCCCAGGUGGCCCACACGGUCCCCUCCUUUUCCACAGAAGAAAACCAAGCUUGCAGUCCCAUAUGAGAAUUCAGAGAGCUGCAAUUCAUCUUUGUGGAGCCCAAUUCAGAGGGACACAGGAGCAGAAGAAGAGAGUGUUUUGACCAACUGGUUUCGAUUUGUGGUGCCGCCAUGGCUGGCCGGCUUUUCAGUCCACUGUAAAGUUGGGUUUUUUAGAAUUUAAUGGGUGCACUGAAUAUAUCAAUGGGUGCGUCUAUAAUUUUCUGUUCUCCACCCUUCUCUGUCCCGUGGUGCCGUUGACUCUCCUAGUUCUUCUCAUUUUCUAAUUUCAAUUCUGCUUCUUAUAAGCCUCAGAGAUUCACUGAGCCCAGGUAAUCGUCUAAUCUUCUUUUAGUUGCAGAUGUUUUAAAUCAACAUUUUAUUUCUCAGGUUUAAUUUUGGGGUAUAAUUUAAGGUGUUGUUUGAUUAGUAUUAUUAUUAUUUUGUGCAUCAGCUCCUCAAGUUUUUCAUCGCGGUUUUUGGAAAUGCACGUCUGAUUUGGCUGUGGAUUAUGAAGGGGUUUUUUGGUUUUCAAUUAAUAUUUUAGCUUAUGGGAUAAUUAGAGCUGCUUUAUCAACAUUUAAAAGGAUAAAAGAAACGAUCGAGAUUCCAUUUCAUUGCCUUUCCUACUCCGAUUCUCAAUCCCUUAAGGCCUGUUGGGUGCGCUGGCUUCGACGUGGGCUUUUAUCUCCCUCGGCCUCCUUUGCUUUCGUCUCUAGUUUGAGCGAGCUUCUCUUUUCUAAAUCCCUUUAUCCUAUUUGCUUUCUCCACCAUGGUCUCAACGCCCCUAUGCGUCUGCUGUGAUUUUAGCCACUGUUGCAAGGUAGCUUCUUUUUCUCCAUUUCAUGGCUCUUUCCAAGACUAACCAUCAUGUACUUCCAGGCAAUUGGGCCUUCUGGGAGAGUUUGAUUGUAUAGGGAGGCUGAGUCUUAUGCAUUUGAGGCUCUUUCCAAGUCUUGUGCAGUUAGGUCUUUUGCUUUUAUAUAUGCAUCAAUUGUGUUUGUGUAUCACCUUCUGUGUACCAAUUAAGCUGUUUUUUAAUUGCCUAUAGUGAACCAGUGCCGUAUGGAUUUAAUUUUGGGAAGGAAAUUGUUGGGAAUGUGCUGGUAGCUCCAUUGAGUUUAUUCAGAUCAUUGCUAAUUCCUAUUAUCUAGCCUUAAUGAUAUGAAUGUCCAUGCUUCAUCUGAGUUACCUGAUAAAAGUCUACCCAACAUGUUAAUGGACUUGCUAAUUUUUAUUAUCCAGCCUUGGUUUACUUUAUUGGGCUGCUGAGUCACUAAUGUUGCAGUAACCAUAUAUGAGUUUGAUGCAGUUGCUAUUCCCAUUGGGUCAAUGGUAUUAAACCUUUCACUCUUAACUUAAUUUGUUGUCAUGAAUCAUGAUCACCAUCUUUAAAUAUUCAUGCUUCUUUAUUUUUAUUAUUUUUGAAUAAGUUGUGUUCUUUGAUGCAAUACAACAACAUAUGAAUGAAUAAUCUCUGGCCUUUUUUUUAACUUUCAUAUUGGGGUCUGCCAAUAGCUCAAUCAACUCUUAUGCAAACUCCAGAAUGCUAAUAUGAGGAAAUGAAAAUAUGAAGAAAUGAUAUACAAAGGUGCCACAAUGUUUAAAGCUGGAAACUUUGGUGUGUAACAACAAACAAGAACCACAAAGUUGAUCCACUUUUUUCAACCAAA